CCCUUAGAUGUUCUGGGCUGCACGCGCGCUACACUGAUGUACUCAACGAGUUUUCGACCUUGCCUGGAAAGGUUGGGUAAUCUUGUUAAAAUGCAUCGUGAUGGGGAUAGAUUAUUGCAAUUAUUAAUCUUCAACGAGGAAUUCCUAGUAAGCGCGAGUCAUCAGCUCGUGCUGAUUACGUCCCUGCCCUUUGUACACACCGCCCGUCGCUCCUACCGAUUGAGUGCUCAGGUGAAUAAUUCGGACUGCAGCAAUGUUUGGAUCCCGAACGUUGCAGCGGAAAGUUUAGUGAACCUUAUCACUUAGAGGAAGGAGAAGUCGUAACA
rnacentral:rRNA from 1 species